CGGAAGUGCGCCUGGGGAUUUUCUUCUCCAGUGGAACUUGCAGGGAAACUGAGGCUCAGGGUGGAGCUCCGGGUCCUGGGAUGCGCUGAGGCCGCCGUUUUCCUCUGCAGUUGCGGAAGAUGUCGGACAGCGAAGACAGCAACUUCUCGGAGGAGGAGGACAGCGAGCGCAGCAGCGAGGCGGAGGAGGCCGAGGUAGAGGAAGACCGGCGAAGUGCCGCAGGCAGUGAAAAAGAAGAGGAGCCCGAGGAAGAGGAGGAGGAGGAAGAGGAGGAAUACGAUGAGGAGGAGGAGGAGGAGGAUGAUGACCGGCCUCCCAAGAAACCACGCCAUGGGGGCUUCAUUUUAGAUGAGGCUGAUGUCGAUGAUGAAUAUGAAGAUGAAGACCAGUGGGAAGAUGGAGCUGAAGAUAUCCUGGAGAAAGAAGAGAUUGAAGCCUCCAACAUUGAUAACGUUGUGCUGGAUGAAGACCGCUCUGGGGCUCGUCGUCUGCAAAAUCUCUGGAGGGACCAGAGAGAAGAAGAACUGGGCGAGUAUUACAUGAAGAAAUAUGCCAAGUCAUCUGUGGGAGAGACGGUAUAUGGAGGGUCUGAUGAGCUCUCAGAUGACAUCACCCAGCAGCAGCUGCUCCCAGGAGUCAAGGACCCCAACCUGUGGACGGUCAAGUGUAAGAUUGGGGAGGAACGGGCCACAGCAAUUUCCUUGAUGCGAAAAUUCAUCGCUUACCAGUUCACAGACACACCCCUGCAGAUUAAGUCAGUGGUUGCCCCGGAGCAUGUGAAGGGCUACAUCUAUGUGGAGGCCUACAAACAGACCCAUGUGAAGCAGGCCAUUGAGGGUGUGGGCAACCUGCGGCUUGGCUACUGGAACCAGCAGAUGGUGCCUAUUAAGGAGAUGACCGAUGUAC
rnacentral:lncRNA from 1 species